CUAGCUCAACUCCUGCUCCUGCAUUCCUCCUGCCCCUUGGGGGCCAGAGGGUCGGGAAGGAAGAGAGAGAUGCCCUCAACUUCUGUCUCUCACCUCCCAUCCCCACCCUCCCCAGCUGCCCGCAGCUUCGGCAACUCCACCUGGGAGGAAAAAAAAUUAAAUGGGGGAAAAAUAAUUAUUAAUCAGAUUAAUUUUUUAAAAAUACUGCUAAUGAAGGGAGCGCCCAGGAUUUUCAUGAUUAUGGUGAUUUCUGAGCACUAACACUAAUGCAGCUCAGAGGAAGGCGGGCCCAACAGAAUAGAAAUCAAACAGCGAAGGAGAGGAAGGCAUGGACCCGAGUGACCAUGGGAUGGUUAGGUAGGAUUUUAGAGGCGACUGC
rnacentral:lncRNA from 1 species